UCCAUCCCGCUCUUUCCUCGUUCUUUCACACUCUCCUGAAUGCUCCCCUCGGGAUCUUUGGCCGUGGCGCUCGUCAGGGACACAAUGCAGUGGGGCGAGCCGUUCCUCUCGGCCAGCUUGGGUAUUACGGAUGGUUCUGUAUGCCGUUCGGCCUGAGCGGCGACCCACACGAAUCGGCUGGGCUCCCUGCGGGGGAUACGGAUCCCGGUGUUUGUCUGCUGUAACAGCAACUCCAUGUGGAACCUGUCAGUGUUCCAGUGGGGCUGCUGUUACCAGCGGACAGACACCCAUAACUCACCCAUAAGGAGAUGUUCACCCGCAUCACCUCCGUUACUACGGGAUCUCAGGCAUGCCUCUUAUGCUGCUUAACAAAUAAUGAAUUUAUCAUUUAUAGAAGAAUUAUCUAAUGUAAUCUGUGCUCAAACGGAUCUAUCAAAUUCCUUUUGAACUUUUGUAGCUAGUCAACAGUAUAAUUUGGUUUCAGUUUUAGAUAACACAAAGACUCAACGGCAUGGGUUGUGUCUGUGAAGAGAGGGAGGAGCCAAAGUCCGUUAAAUGUCUCAAAUUGUAAAGGUUAACUUUAUUCUUGUUACAUUUAUGUGUAGCACUAUUACAUAAAACUAUAUAUAACAUUGUUUUGCAUGAUGUGAUACGGAGCAUGUGGUUCUAAUUUUGCAUGAAGGAAUAUGUUUCUGGUUUUGCGGUAGCUGGGGCGCAGGAUGAUGACCUAUAAAUUGACAGCCAGUGUUUGAACCUGGCUGUCAGUUCUGUAGGCCAAUGCCCUGUUUGCCCUGUCAAACACAGCCAUAUCUGGGCAAAAAGAGUGGGAACGGAGAGCUUUACGGGAGACAUGGCUGUUAAACAGGAACCCACCAAGCACGACUCACCUUGUCUUAGAAGUAUGCUAAUGACACCAGCUAAUAAAAAAUUAUAUGUUUCUUAA